UAACCUGCCCAAGAGAUCGGGAUAACACCUGGAAACAGAUGCUAAUACCGGAUAACAACAGAUGAUGCCUAUCAACUGUUUAAAAGAUGGUUCUGCUAUCACUCUUGGAUGGACCUGCGGUGCAUUAGCUAGUUGGUAGGGUAACGGCCUACCAAGGCGAUGAUGCAUGGCCGAGUUGAGAGACUGAUCGGCCACAUUGGGACUGAGACACGGCCCAAACUCCUACGGGAGGCAGCAGCC
rnacentral:rRNA from 1 species